rnacentral:rRNA from 1 species
UACGGAGGAUCCAAGCGUUAUCCGGAUUUAUUGGGUUUAAAGGGUGCGUAGGCGGCCUGUUAAGUCAGGGGUGAAAGACGGUAGCUCAACUAUCGCAGUGCCCUUGAUACUGAUGGGCUUGAAUAUACUUGAGGUAGGCGGAAUGUGACAAGUAGCGGUGAAAUGCAUAGAUAUGUCACAGAACACCAAUUGCGAAGGCAGCUUACUAAAGUAUGAUUGACGCUGAGGCACGAAAGCGUGGGGAUCAAACAGG